ACUCCUACGGGAGGCAGCAGUGGGGAAUUUUGGACAAUGGGGGCAACCCUGAUCCAGCCAUGCCGCGUGAGUGAAGAAGGCCUUCGGGUUGUAAAGCUCUUUCGGCCGGGAAGAAAUCGUGGUCUCUAACAUAGGCCAUGGAUGACGGUACCGGACUAAGAAGCACCGGCUAACUACGUGCCAGCAGCCGCGGUAAUACGUAGGGUGCGAGCGUUAAUCGGAAUUACUGGGCGUAAAGCGUGCGCAGGCGGUUUUGUAAGACAGAUGUGAAAUCCCCGGGCUUAACCUGGGAACUGCGUUUGUGACUGCAAGGCCAGAGUACGGCAGAGGGGGGUGGAAUUCCUGGUGUAGCAGUGAAAUGCGUAGAUAUCAGGAGGAACACCGAUGGCGAAGGCAGCCCCCUGGGCCUGUACUGACGCUCAUGCACGAAAGCGUGGGGAGCAAACAGGAUUAGAUACCCUGGUAGUC
rnacentral:rRNA from 1 species